GGGAGUGCCAGUGGAGGGAGAGAGUCUGGAGACCAGCUACUCCAAUGCCCUCAUUUGCCUUUGCUCAUGUCCGUCUCGUCAAGCAGGGACCCUGCAGGUGGGAAAGAAAGAUGGCGAGAGGACAGCCAAUAUCACAUUUUCCUUCCCAAGACAGGGAUGAAAAGCCACCAAGACGGCUUUUGUGAAAAUCUGGAAGGACAAGAAAAGCCCACUUAAGUCAUCAGAUCUCAUUUCAUCUAUUGUUAACCUUGAGGAGUGGUGAGCCCGCUGUUCCUGCCAAGCUCUUCAAUACCCAGCUAGAUGGGCACCCUGAACAGAAGUGCUUCUGGACUAGUGCCACAGGGACUGCUCUGAGUACCAGGGUGGCCUUGGGCAAGGCUCUGGUCCUUUCUCGAAUGGCUUCCCAGGCCUGAGGAGGCACAGGCAGCAGUGAGAAUCUGCUAAGCACUUGUGAACACUAUAUGCUGAAAUGCCUGAAAAGGCUUUCCUGCCCUGCAGGGACCCGGGCUCAGCACCUUUUUCAGACUCCAGGAAGCUCAUAUCCCGCUGAUGAACAGCUCGUGGCCAUUGCAGCACUAU
rnacentral:lncRNA from 10 species